CUCUGUAGGGCCAGGAGCAACAGAGAAGCCACUUAGUUCCAUCGCCCAUGGCUGACUCAUCCCUCAGAUGGUCUGACAGCAUUCCUCAUGGAUCUGUACAGUGGGAGGGGACCAGUCCUCUCAAACUGCUCACCCUGGGGCUAACCCGGCCCUGAGCAACUGAAUCAAAUAUCUGCUUCCCAACACACCCAUUUUCAGCAAGUGAUGGCAGCAUUCCUGUCCAUUAUAGACACUGUAUUCUUGAUCUUGCUUGUGAGCUCACCCACCACUCAGCCUUCCUACUAACCUAUGUUGCUUCCACACAAGGGUCACAGCAACUUCAUGCUGCAACCAAGUCAAGAGAAGAGUAGUCACAGGGCUCUGGGUAUAAGCUUAGAACAGAUGGGGGUCUGCCAGGAUCUCUGUCUUACAGUCUCCGCUUCUUGGCAAUACACAGACCAGCUUCCUUAAAUCUCAUUCAUUUCAAUGCAGAGAAACAAGCCAUCUUUGAGGCAAGAGAGGACAGGACACUACAAAGGAGGUGGGGUGUGGGCUGAGGGGCUUUGACUAGCCACCCCUGCAAGCUCAGAAAGUGGUGCAAACAGUGCCAGGGACUGGCAUUUCUCUUCACAGAGAGGGAGCUGAAUCGAUAAGGUCAGUAGAAUAAGUCAGUUGUCACCUUUGCAAAAGGCCCUGUCCCAAUCUGCAGAGCUCACGGAGACUUUGCUCCAAGACACCCUUUGACUGCAGCCAGGUGAGCUGGUAGAAGCUUGUGGGCUUCUUGCCCCUCCCAGCCACACUCUUCCCUCUGCACUGGCUUCUGGGAUAUGUAGGGAGAUGAGAAAGGCAGGAUGCAGAAUGGAGUUGCGCUGGAACCAUAUGAUGGUCUACGCGGAUGUGCAGGUCCCCUAAGCCCUGCAGUGCUACAACUCAGGUGAGACCUCUCCUGCUCAUGUCUGUCCUACCUGUGGGGUUGCUCUAGUUCCUUCACUGUCUUGGUGGAGUUCUAAAGUGUCUCUUGAGUUCUGAUGGCAUGCAUGUUACCUCAAGCCAGGCAAAGCUCUGUAUGAAGUCAUAACAGAAAGCUGCAACCACUGUUGUGAGCCAGUGUUUUGUGUUUUUAAUUGUCACUGAAAACCAGGGACUUUGCUUAUGCUGGGCAAGGGCUGGACCACUGAGCUGUAUCCCCAGGUCCCUUGGUCAUUUGAGGCAGGAUCUGGUUAUGUAGCUCAGUCUGGCCUUGAACCUGUGAUGCUUCUGCCUUAGCAAGUGCCUUCAAAUACUGAGAUUCCAAGCCCGUGCCACCCCACUCAGCUAGAACCUGCACGUUUGAAACCUCGUCUUUGUCUUCCAUGGAAACACAGAGAAAGAAAAACAAGCUUUUAUAAGCAGCAUUUACAAGUUGGAACACAGCUGGAAUCUCAGUUAGGCAUGUCCCCUAACUGAAGCUCCUUCGCAGGAGUGAGUAGCUUUGGCUAAGCAGCGCCCCUUUCCAGUGAUCCUGAGGUAGCACGGCAUCAACCGAACACUUCACAUCAUGAGUUAGAGCCUUAUCACAGGAUGAUUUCAAAGGCCUCAAUGAGAAAUGUUACUUGGCAAAGCCCUGCUAAACUGACAGGAUAUGAGUGGUCUCUUUAAAAAAAAAAAAACCACAAACAGAAAUGUCUCAGACAUCCGCUCUCCUGGCAGGGAAGGAGAUCUCUGACGCUAAGUUCCGAAAUAGAGAAACUUUGUGUUACUAGCAAGCGGCGGCAUGAGCCCAGGAGGAGUGGAGAGAGAGAGAGAGGCAAGGUUGAGUGACAGCCCAACGCCAGUCCCCUGUACCAAGACCCAGUGUGCAAUACCUUGUUCUUCUAGGAUCCCGUUAGGCAUCUUCUUGUCGUUGCUGUUGACCACGGCUUUCCUCUGCUUCCUGAACCUUAGAGGCACAAGACGUGUUAGGUCUCAGCACAGCGGGAACCCCCAAGCCCUGAGUGUCGUGAUACCCACCAGGAGCUGGUUAGAGCACGUCAGUGCCUGGGGACACUCCUACCUGAAGAAGUAGGCUGCAAGGAGGAACAGGAGGAGGAGCAGAGGCAGCAGCAGCCAGGUCCACCUUCCUCAGAGAGACACAUAUUUCUGCCCUUGCACCUUGGCUUUGGUGACCUUGUGGUCAUCAACGGACCCAUUCUCUCAACCUCUUGGGGCGCUCUCUCAUCUCCACAAAGCUCCCACCCAAAGGACCCCAUCAAAAGCCUGCUACGACAGUUAACCAGCGUGGCUCCCGUCUCGACCUGGUCCGAGGAGCUAUGUCCUGCAUUUGGUGAGUCCAUGCUACAAGAGUGAGCAGGUCCCCAUGGGAGGCUCUGGAGGUCAGUAGCUAGAUUUCUAUCCUCCUGAGUUCCAGAAGUGUCAAACAUUGUUCCCAAGCCGAGCGUGUGUUUCAGAGUUCACGUCCUUCCUCCCAUGUGCCAACCUGGUUCAUCGAAACUCAGGACUCCAAGAAGGAGUUUGAAAUGUCAUUUUUUUCCCCCAGCCCUGUGCAUGUAAUCUAGAGGCUAUGCCCCACAGUACGUCACCUGUGGCUCUGACUCAGAGGAGCUGAUUCCCAUCAUGUUCAAGGUCAGGUAUAUAUAUUUUAGGCUUAAUGGCUAGGACUAUCUGUCCUUCCCUCAGGGGAGUACUCCAAACCUACCCACUGCCCAGCUGGGGCCCUUUAGGAGCAGCCUGGCCCAAGACUUCCAGGUCUGGCUCCAGGGAAUGGUAUACCCUAGACUAUGACCUGCAUCAAAUUUUAGCUUGGGUUGCUGAGAUCUGCCUAACACCAGCAGGCAGAGCUAAGCCAAUCCCAGGGAGUCUCACCGUUCAGGGUCCCCUGAUUCAACUCCAUCCAUUUUUGGUCAGAGACCACUAGAAAGUGUGGGCAGGCUCCUCCUUCUUUUCAGGAAAUGCUCACUGUCUUUUCUCGGUGUGUCACCGUGGUGAAACUACCUACUUCUGCAUUGCCCAGAGGUCAGCCCCUGGCUCAGGCUCUGUUCUGCAGAAGUAGCUGCUAAACUGGCUUGGCUACAAGGUCCACCCUGUCAUAGACAGAGCCCUACAUCGAUUGUCACACAGGCAGAAGGACGGCUCAGAAGGACUCAUUAUCCCUCCACUUGGUUUCUGUCACUUCUAACGUGCUUUGCCCAGGAAGGCAGAGGUCAGGGCCAGAACCUCUCAGACUUCCCAAGGGUAGCAAAACGCCCAAACCCAGGCUGGGUGGCGUGGGACACAGGGAACUGUGAGGCAUGCUCUGGCUACAGUGUCUGAGCAUGUAGGAGGAUGAAUCCAGACUACUUCUGCCUCAAAUACCGCAAAGGAAGAAACCCAUGCUUGAUGUAAAUGUUUCUGAAAUUGUGGAUGGACCUUGAUAAACAUUGUGGGCCAGGAAAUAAGUCCUGGUGCACACGGGGUAGUGUCCCCUUGGUCCCAGUGGUGUUCCACCCAGGGAGUCAUGAGGUCUCCCAGAGGAUAUCCUAUGGUCACAUUCUAUUUCCAGUUUAUGUUGACUCAGGGGUGGGGAUGGGAAAAAGGGCAAGAGUGGGGAGAUGCAGAUGGGUCUCUCUAGAUGGUUCAGCCUUUUCCCUAAAGUGUUGUUGGGUUUUCCAAUUGCACGUGAGCGAGUACAUGCGUGUUCACAUAGACUUUAGGCAUAGGUGUGCCUGCAUGUGAAUAUAUACACAUUUGCUUACACAGAAUCUUCCUGACACUAGAAAGGCAAUAGUUUGUGUGUGCAGUGGGGCCUGAUGCUGCUUUACUCUGGACACAGAUUUCCCUGGUGACUCCUUUGCUGUGUCAGAAGGACCCAGGCAGAAGAGCAUGGUCUAGCCUGAGUAAGCUCUUUCCAAACCUUAUGGAACUCUGCAGCAAAUCUGCCACAGAGAGUUCCCCUCCAAUGAGGGACAUUCUACACGUCUAGGGGGUCCUCAGUGGAGAGGCAGAGUUAAAGUAAAGGAGGAAGAGGAAGAGGAAAAGGAAAGACAGGAAGCACAGUGAGCAGCUGUGCUCUGGGAAGAGACAACAGUCCCUGGAGGACUGUGCUGGAGAACUCUCUGGGAUCUAGUCCAUAAAGCUUCUCUGGCCAGAGGCCUGUGAUUAGCAUUCCAAGGAGCCCAGUCAGAGCGAACACACACACACACACACACACACACACACACACACACACACACACACACACACACACACACACACGUAGGUUGACUGUUUUGUUUCCCUGGCAUGACGUUGUGAGUGUAUCUUCCCCUACAUUUUCUUCUAUGACGCUAAACUGGUGAACACAUAGGUUUGGUAAAUAAAUUAGACUCACGACUCCCUCCUGUCAUCCAAGAUUGCACGGCAGAAGGAAGUACAGUUAUUUUACAAAUUGAUAGGGAAGAGAGGAAAAAAAAACCAAACCAACAAUGAUAAAGAAUCACCCACUUGAUGACAUACCAACGUCAUCCAACAUUAGUGCUAUGCAUAAAGCAACCGGAUGAAACACACACCUCUCUCCUUGCUCCUGGAGAGUUACCAUGCGAGGUGAGCCUCUUCCUUCUGAGUCCUGGCUGCUUGCCACCAUAUGCUUUGGCCUGGCCCAGAUUAUGGGUAUUUGAAGCUAUUUUCCACUUCGCUGUUCCCUGUACUUCUACUUCUAGAUUUAAAAAGAAAUUAUAUUCCUAUUUACGCAUCUGCAAGUGGGUAUAUGUCUUUGUGUAUUCGGACCACAUGUGUGCAGGUGCUCAUGUAGGCCAGAGGAGGGUGUCUGAUCUCCCAGAGCUGAAGUUUCAGUCAGUUAUGAAGGGUCACGUGGAUGCUAGGAACCGGACUUGGGUCCUCUGGAAGAGCAAGUGCUCUUAGCCACUGAGCCCACUCUCCAGCUCCUAACUUGGGCACGUUGUCUCACCAGGGUUUCUGUGUGGCAUCUCCUGAAAGUGGACCUUUGUGCCUACUAUGCUCAUUACCAAACAAGAGUAGAACUAUCCAGAUGGCCUCCCAAAGCAUCUGACUUCUAAGUUCGCCUUACAAAGGGGUUUACAAGAGAGGGAGGCCCUUUCUCCUGGACGCUAAUGAUCCUUCCACUUUUAGUCAGGUAAAAAGCACAAUACCACUUUAACUUGAUUUUCUCUAAUAUCUAGAGAGUUUGGAACCUUGGCCUGAUGAUUAAAAUGGAAUUAAUUAGAUACUUUGAUUUUGCCUGGUCGUGUUUGACAUCUCCUAAUAGCUUCAGCUGUCAACUUGACAUACCCCGGAAUUAUCUGAGAAUGGCCUUGCCCAGAUGGACAUAUGCUCAUGUCAGUGGGGUAUUUUAUUAUUGGCUGAUGUGGAAGGCCCCAGACCAUUGGAGGUGGCACCAUCUCUAAGUAGGGGGUGUUGGGCUGUAUAAGAAAGCUACUUGAGUGUGAGUCAGUGAGUGAGCCGCUAAGCAGUAUUCCUCCGUGAUUUCUAUUUUAGUUCCUGUUCGAGCUUCUUCCCAGACUUCCCUUCAUGGUGGACCAUGACAGAGAUAUGUAAGCCAAGUGGACCCUUGCCUCGCUGGUGCUAGGUCAUAGUGUUUGUCACGGCUGUAGCAAAGCAAAUCAGAACAUCAUCCAUUUUCCUAAUGUGCUCUUUCACACGUUAAAAUUAAGGAUUCUUGGGGCUGGGGAUUUAGCUCAGUGGUAGAGCACUUACCUAGGAAGCACAAGGCCCUGGGUCCGGAAAAAAAAAAAAGAACCCCCCAAAAAAAUUAAGGAUUCUUCCUGUAUGUAUCGCGGAUAAUAACACCUCCUCGCAACUUUCUUUCUUUUUCUUUUUUUUUUACAUAUUUAUAAUGAAUUCUUUGUCUAAGAAAAUGUGUCAUGAUGAAUAUUGAAUUCAUUUUGGCCAGAGAUGAAAGGAAACCAUUUCCUGUUGUUCCGGCACGUUCUGGCAAUGUGCUAACCCUCAAGAGAUAUUUUGUGAUUUUUCAGGGGCCAGAUCUUUUACAGAGGACUUGGAGUGCCCUCCCAAGUUGCAGGACAAAGGAGCAGCCAUGUAACUGUAAGGCCUCUGUAGCUCCUGAUAGUGAGACCAGAGCUGUUGUUAGUAAGCUGAGGCCCGGGGGAGACCUAACCAGAGCAAGUUUCACAUUUACUUCUGUUCCGGGUGCUGAGGUCAUGUGAUAGUCUUCUCUUCCAGAAAGCAACACUUCCUGCCCAUGGCUAUGUUAUAAACCAAUACAUUUUGCUCUCAAGUGAACUUGGAAAGUCCUAGGUGAUGCCACCCUGAGGGAGACUCAGGUAACUCCUGGUUGGGGCUGUCACAGGACCCUGAUAGAUUCUACCUCUACUGUGGAGAGAUGGAUACUCUGUCCCCAGACUUCAAGAUGUCUACUAGAUGUGCAGGCAGCUUUCCAGCUGAUUAGUAUUUGGGGAGGGAUGUCAGGGAUGUGGGCGGGGGAAACUUCAGUGAAUGUUCUUGAGGGUCACCGUCCUUGGGUGGGUCUUUGAUGUUCUGUGCUGCAAGACAUGAUGGCCUAUAUGUGGAAAGCCAUGUGCAGAGAGGCAGGCCCUGCAGGGUCUGGUUUUGUUUUAUUUGUUUUGCUUGUUUGUUUUUUGUGGCUGUGGGUGUCAGGGCAAGGAGGAAGGAUACAGCCAGAGUGUGAGUUACCUCAGGUGUUUGAUCUCAUGGCAGGGUUGCGCUUCUACCCUCCCCUCAUGGACACCAUUAUGCCUACGGGAAAUUAAUCAAUGGUCUGGAAACCCUGUAAGGUCCUUGAGUGAGGUGAAACUUGAACCUCUGACCCACUGGGAGGGCACCAAAUUCCACUGACUUUUUCUAAGAAGCUUUUCUGUAAGGAUAUUGAUCAUUUGAGUCUUCCUUAAGCUUUGCAAGGGCCAAUACCAAACAUGUUGCUCAGUUUCACGUGUAAACUUGACCAGGUCAUGCUGCAAAAACAUUUCGAGACCACCAUCGGAGACUGAGGCUAACACUAGAAUCUACACAUUGAGUGAAGCAGACGGUCUGCCCCAGUGUGGGUAGGUCGUACCAGGAAUGGAGCAAGUGUGUAGGAAGGGAAGGAUGGGACUGAGGCAGGUACAAGAUAGGCACGAGCCUCUGCUAUUGUGGGUUCCUUGUGACUUUGUCACUAAGACAUGCUGCAGAGAAUACCUGCCAACUCCUUAGGGAGGGUCCCUGACUUCACUCAUCUGCCCUGAGCCUGGCUCUCUCUGGGUGCAGCACAACCUGCAAAAAUCACAAAGAAGGAGUUGAAGGUUGAGCAUCCGAACUGGCUAAUGGAGACUGGCUAGAUGGCUGGCGCUUGCCCGCUGUUGACCACAGCAUAAGCCGAUGCUGAGGAAUGCGGCUGUGCUCUGAAGACUGUCCAGCCUGCUUGUCUCCAUAAGGCUCACUGCAUCUGUACCUCAUGCUCAGGGCAGGGAGGCACAGAGGGCAUAGAGGAGUGAGUGCAUCCAGGUUACUCAGCUAACAAGUGGCUGAUACAAGAUUUGAACCCAGGCAGUAAGUCGAGAAGACCCAUUCUCGUUUGUUUGGGCUUUUUCCCCCCUUUCUACAUCCUCUUCCUCACUUUGGGUUUGCAUAACAUUUAUUCAUUUAAUUGAGGUGAUAUUUACAUGUACAAUGAACUUGUUUUUAAAGCACGGUGCGUUAACUUCCCAGGGUUAGGCAGCUCUGGCUUUAGAGUAUUUCUUUGUCUCCAGUUAAGACCCCUUCCUGUCUUCAUCCUCAGCCCUGGAAACGGCUCACUACUCCCCCGUCCAUGAUUUUCAGGUACUGGAUAUUUCCUGUCAAUGGAAUCCUACCUUAGUCUACAUCAUGGGGUUUCUGUGUCUACCUUCUGUCAGUGGGAAUGUCUCUGAGGUUCCUCCUUGAUGCCACAUGGGCACCAGUAUGCUUCUUUUUUUUUUUUUAAUAUUUAAACUACAAGGGGAGGGAACAGACUAAGAAUAAUCCCCAUCCCUGCCCUGGGGUGUAUCUGUAACGUUCUUGAGAGGCUAGGACAAUGCUGUCCUUUUCAACUCUAUCUCCCGGAAGCCAUGGCACAUCCAAGAAUGCUCCGCGUUCACCUAGAGAAACAGCAACUGUUCUUCUUUUAAGAGAGGAAACUCCACCACAUAUCAGUAUUACAGAAUAUUAACAAACAACAAAAUAAUAACAUUCUUCGCCCUGUUGUCUGACUGUUUGCUCCAGAUUCAAACCUAUCAUCAUGAGAGGAAGGCAGGGAGCUCACAGAACAUAAGGGUGUGAGUUACCUCAGGUGUUUGAUUUCAUGGCAGGGCUGCGCUUCUUCCCUCCCCUCAGGGACAACAUUAUGCCUAUGGGAAAUUAAUCAAUGGUCUGGAAACCCUGUAAGGUCCUUGAGUGAGGUGAAACUUGAGCCAAGUGAACCCUUGAAGUUCUACAAGCCAGAGACAGAUUGCCUGGGGUGUGGUUGGAGUGGAGGGACUCUUAAGUGGAGCUGCCUACAAGUCGCGGAGGAGACUGGUGAUCCAGCUUUCAUGAGUUGUCGCCCGGGCUGGAGAGGGCUUUCCAGUGAAGCAGCUGCCUCUGAGUCACCCAUGCUUCUGUAAGUAACCCCCCAAAACUUACUGGCUCACCAAAUUAGACAUGGAUACAGUCAUUUCUUGAGUCUAUAGUGGGUGUCCUCCAUUGAGUAAUUAAAUGUUUGCUCAUAUCUCCUCAGGAAAAGUUACGCAACAAACCUUCAAGCCAAUAUUCACAUUUGCUCAACCUCCCGGUCAGUGUUUGGUCACAGUUGCUCCUAGCAGGGCUCUACACAGUUAGACAUUUCAGAAUGUAUUGUUGAAUUAAUCAAUUUUGUGUGUGUGUGUGUGUGUGUGUGUGUGUGUGUGUGAGAGAGAGAGAGAGAGAGAGAGAGAGAGAGAGAGAGAGAGAGAGAGAGCGAGCAUAUAUGACAGAGUGUACUUGUAGAAGUCAGAAAACAACUUGGAGUCAUUUCUCUCCUUUCCACUGUGUGGGUCCCAGGGAUCGAACUCAGGUCAUUGAACCUGACAGCCAUCCCUUUGUCACACAUUCAUUUGGAUGGCCCUCCUCAGACUUUCUCUCUCCUUCUUUCACCAAGACUGAUCCAUACGCCGACCCCAGCAGGUGGAGCAGCCUUCUCAAACACACUUAGAUGGCUCUGGUUCUGGCUACAUACCCAGUACCUCAUUGGCACACCGGAAGAGCCACCGAACGCCUUUCCCAGAAGUCCUAGGUGCUCAGGAGGUGGCAGUGUGUGAGGCAGCAGGGGCACAGGUUAGGGGUCCUUACCUGCAGUUGUACUGGUCCAGUUGCUCUCUGUUGGGGUGGUGUCGUUGCCCUGGCCAGCUGUGGCAAGCGACAAGCUAAAACUUGCCAACAGGAGUGGACAGAAGGGUUCCAUGGCACACCUGCAAAGAGAAGAGGACCUGCUCAGAAUCUUCCCGAAUAGAAGGCCUCGGACACGACUGUCGCUCAGUAGGGAGGAAGAAGACAUAUGAGAGAAGCUCACUGUAGGUUUUCAGGAACGUUCUUUUGUCGUCUCCAUCCUACAGUGGUUCAGUCACUGUCAUCUGCAGGUCCAGCCUGAGGACCCAAGGCUCACGGUUCCUACAUUGCUGAGGGUGAAUCAGCAUGGGGUGGGAUCAGACCCCACUUUAUCCAUAUUGCCAGCCAAGAGGCAUCUGUGUGAGUCACCUGGCACUGCAGAUGCCACAUCCCCCAAUACCAACUGUUCACCCGCCUCCUUUACACAACCAUUCUCUGACCAAAUUGUGACUAUGGUGGCUGUGGUAUCUUGGGUAAGUAGAUGACAGUGCCUUCUUGUGUGAUUUUUGGGCCCUUCUCACUAGGCCAGCCAAAUCCAUUCCCUCCAUACCGGGCUCAGGAGCUCCUGACUAAGCAGCCUUGAGGCCAGCGUCAGGGUUCUUCUCUAUCCUCUUCCAUCCUGUGGCAAUAUUUUCUCUCAGCUCACUUCAGUAGCCCUCUCCUGGUCUAGCCGCUAACUUCCUACUCUACAGAAUCAGCUACAGCCUCAGGAGAGAACUAGGUGUUUACCAAGUCGAAUGGAUGCAGGGGACAGACUGAUUGGCAAGGGGUUCGGCAUAGAGAAAGCUCUUUCAUAGUAAGACCUCCCAGGUAACCUUCUUGGCUCUCCAUUUUGCCCAAUUACCUUCAACCAUCUUUAGAGGUGAUGGUGAUGGUGACUACCCGGUGGUGUAGAAAAAUUUGCUUGAGGACUCCUGACCAAUGGAGGCAGGCAAUGGCACCUUCCCAUGGCAGAUCCGUGGUCCCUGUCCACGGACCUCAUCCACAGCCAGCCCAGGGGCUCUGUCCCAUCCCUUCUGAGAAAAAUUUUGCUACCCAAAGCCUCCAAGAAGGACGUGAAUGGACCAGACCUCAGAACUGAGACCAACAGAUAGAUGCUCAGCACUCAUGCUGUUCCAACAGGGAACACUGAUGUUUGUAAUUACUGAAGACAUAGAAGGAGCAGGGCAAUCCCAGUGUUUCUCAGUAGGCAUCACUGCCCUGAUGAACGGGACCCAAGGACUUUAUAACAAUGACCUCACAGAAAUGAGUCAGUGGCCACCAGCAUGAGUGGCCUCUCCUCUUCCUAGUUCCCAAAUGCACAUCGUAGAUUUAUAAAGCGGACCAGACACGAACAGCUCUGUGCUUGAGUGUGUACCUGCUCCAGCCUGCUCCUUGCAUGGGUGUUGUGUACACCGGAACCCCUCAAGGGCUGAGACCAUUGGCUACUGGAGGGUGAGAGACUAGACAGAGCCAGACUGCAGGAUUAUAAAGCCCAUGUUGGAGAUCCGGACUGAUGGGGACACACCCUCAGCUGGAUCCAUGCUGCCCAGGCUCUCACUUGACAGACGGCUUCACACAGAUUGCCACACACUGCCUUCUCUCUUUCCAAUCUGCUACUGAACACUGCCGAGGCACUUCACGUACGCGAGAGGAAACUGCAGGGUAAUUGAUUGGGAAUUAUUAAUUGGCUUAAUUCAACUCCAGAGAUGUGGAAUUCCUGGGUGAAACAUCGUGCUUCCUCUCAAGCAUUAAUGACCUCCCCCACCGAGCAUACAAUGAUCUAAGAGGAGCCUAGGCCAGCACCCUUGAGGAGGACGAAGCUCAACAGCUUUCCCUCAUUAUGUGUGGAUGGCUGUCUGCAAGUUCUCAGAGCCGAACUUCCUGAUGGGACCACUAGAGGGAGAUAAACGGUGCAGACAUCAAAACCUAGCCAGCCAUCUGGUGUCUCUUUAUUAUUCUGCUUGUAUUCUAAGACUAGUAACAACCUGUCGGAGGCUCCCUGGCCAUCCCCUCUCAAAAACUUGCGCAGGCUACUUAGUAAGCACAGGCACGGAAUCUGUGCAGAAAUAAUGUGUGAAAAAGGAAUUAAAUUUACGCCCGAACUCCAAGGAUGGUGGCUGAGUAGUAUUUGCUGCGUGCCUGCCAAGUGCUAAGCACAGGCGGCCCGGGGGGCUUGUGCAGUCUGCAAGCUGGGAUGAACAAAGCAUUCUCUUCCCAGAAAAGCACACUUUAUUUUUACUCUACUCAAAAUCCACCCGUCUCUCAACAUGACUAUAAAACGAUCAUUCUUUUUUUUUUUGGUUCUUUUUUUUCGGAGCUGGGGACCGAACCCAGGGCCUUGCGCUUCCCAGGCAAGCGCUCUACCACUGAGCUAAAUCCCCAGCCCCUAAAACGAUCAUUCUUGUUCCAUUGAACGCUAUUUCGGUACUUCCCACAGCAAGGUUCAACAAGCCUGCUAGGAUCUGGACAUGCUGAGUCAAGUCCCAUCCACGAGCAGGGACGCUCCCAGAGCUGGAAGGGCAGUUCAAGGGUAGAGUCCUAGCAGCCCCACGAGAAGCUGUGGAGGUGAUGCGGUCUCCACGGCAUGGAGGUAGUGAGCACACAACCAGGCUGUCAGUUAUCGUUUCCCCCAGCAGUGAAAUACACAGCCAGAACCGUCAGCUGGCAGGACGGACGACACUGAAGGAAGCUGUGCGUGACCGACAGUCAGGGCAAUCUUUGUUUUAGCCUACAGGAGCUGUACUUCCUCAGGAGCCCUGAAGAGCAAGGGUGGGAAAGGCUGAACUGAGAAGGCCAUGCACCGAUGCAUUAGCCCACGACUAGACCCCUCAGGCUCACUUUCUACUAAUAACCCAGAUUAUUGACAUCAUGUGGAAGCUCAAUAUCAGAUGUCAGACAUCUACAGACCUGGAGAGCGACGUAUAUGUGACAAAGUGUGAAGCCCACCAUGCUCCUCUCAGCUUCCUGGGGCGACCAUCUCCACCUCAAGGGAACAUGAACACAGACACGGACAUGGUUCCAGGAUAUCUUUCUCAGGACCACCAUCCCAUCCCCAGGACCUUUCAUUGUGGCACACACAUUAUCCAUGAGGCUUAGUGAGGCAGGACAGCGAAGGUUCUCGGGGCCGGCUAAACUUGAUCUAUGACAAAUCCCCACAGCUGAAGUGUUCUUAGGAGGACUAAGAACACUGCUUGACAACCGACAGGUGUCUCACUCUCACCUGCAGCACAGAUGACAUACACCCGUGGUUGCUAGGCAGCGAAGGCUGGGCACCCUGCAUUCAUGGGCUGCAGUUCAAUCUAGGACGUCCAGAUGUGGGAAGGAAGGCACCAGCGUUACGACCUAAUGCCUGGUAACAUCAGUCACCCUUUGUGGAGCACAGCAGAGUUCCCAGGCUUGGCCCCUCCUGCCUUUACCAUACUUUACAGGAUCCCAAACUGAAGCUCUGAGGCCUUGGUUGUCAGUGUGUGUGAUACACAUGAAUACAGUGACCCAGGAAGCCAUAAGAGGGAACUGGAGUUAUAAACGAUUGUGAUCUCAGUCCCUCAACCCCAUGUGGGUGCUGGGAAGCAAACUUAUAUUCUCCACAAAAGGAGUGCAUGCUCUUAAUCAUGGGGACAUCUCUCCAGCCCCCAAGUAUCCGUUUUUCUAUGUAACCUUUCUCUAUAAACUCAAGACAAGGUGACCCACCUGGCAAGAUAAUUGUUUCUAAUGCUCUAGGAAAAGGCAAAUAAACAAACACCUCGGCUAAAAAACCUCAGAUAAAACAAUGUCUUUCCACAGCAAAAGAAACAAAACCCAGACCUUUCCUUACCUUUAAGUCUGACUAUACUUAAAGAGAUGAAAGAUUUAAACAAAUGUGUUUGUGUGUUUGUGUGUGUGUGUGUGUGUGUGUGUGUGCGUGUGUGCGCACUGUUCAUUAAAACCUGCAAACCCAGUGUGUUUCAGGUGUAUCUGCAUGACCUUGCCUCUUUGAAGAUGGCUUUGCUUAUUAAAAAAGAAAAGAUGCUCACGGGGAGUCCUCAGCGCUGCGGGUGAAGGGUGGAACUUAAUUGCUUUGAGCAGAGAAAAACUCACGGCACUCAUGGAAUGCACUGCCAAUCAUGUAAAGCGAAUCCCAAAGGCGAUGGUGAUGUUCGCUCACUGGCAAAGGAGCUCUCAUACUCUCUGUGCUAGUCAGCCUUCCAAGGCCUGACAAGACACCUGAGGCAAACAACCUAGGGAGAGCUUCACCCCAAACACCCCCACCAGGUUUGGAACCCAUCGGUGGAUGGAUUAAUCAACCAAUGAGAACUCAUGACUUGCUGUAGCCCAUGGAGCUGGGCCCAGACCUUCAUGAGUGUUUGGGGGGAUGUGUCAUGUUUAAGCUGUAACGGUUUUCCCACUCACCACCAGCGUAUCUUUGGAUUAAUAAGCAUGUCCAGAUGUGAACAUACCUGUGAAGUUAUGUCAACAGGAGGUGUGGCUUUGCAGGGAAGGUGUGCUCUUGCUCCAAUCCACUUCUGUUUCCCCAGUCCCUUGUUCACUUGGCUCUCCUGAGCAGCCGCCUCACUAUUACCUGCGUUGGCCUCUCACCAGCCUCCUGGGCCCCUCACCGGCCACCAUGGAUGCCUGCUCUUCAUAUCAGCCCUCCAUACUAUGCAGAUCACCCUGACUUGAUCCAUCUGUCUUCUGGCCCCUGCCCCCAGGCUCCCUGUCAGCACCCCUCUGCACUUGAAUGUGCGGUUCUGUGAGUCAGAGCCACCUUGUGGUCUUCUAGUAUCUACAGAGGCAGCUGCAGUGGGAAAGCAAGGCCGAGUCCCAACAACACCCAGUAAGACUGUGAGGAGUGCUGUCAGAAGAUCGGGAAGCAGGAAGUAGAGGAGCCACUACGUUUGUAGGGGCAAGACAAACAUGUGCUGUUCCUUUCAGUCACUGGCCCUCAUGGUUCAGAUAAUUCCUCUGAACCUGCAUUUUGAGAGCUCCAAGAACAUAACCCCCAAGCUAAGCUGUGGGGUUCCGCUUGGGGGACAAGAAGGUGCAGGAGGCAGUUCCUCUAUUUUCACAAAGCCUGCAGGUGGCCAUUUCCUCUCUGGUCACAUGCUGUGUCCUGUUCAUGAAGCACCUUACAGGGAACAGCUGUGCCAGCGGCACCUGGGGUCUUGGGAAGAGACAGCUGUGCAGUGUUUUGGGAGCCCUCCAGGGAUUGGUACAGACACUUUCAAUGGAAGAGUCGGGGAAAGAUCACUUCCUCCCCCUCCUGACUUUUAUUUGACUUUAUCUGGACAAUAAAUCAGCUAGUGAUGUCCUUCGAUCAAGACCCAUAAAUAAACCAACACGUCCAUUACUGCUUCCAGGGGAGACUCGCAAACAUUUGGAUAGACUAAUGUUCUCUAUGCUGAAAUCAGCUUCUGCCAUCUCAGGAUAAUUGCCUCAGCAAAUGUGCCAAUCACCUUGGCACCCAGCUCUACCAGAGCCCAGUAACCGAAUGUAUGUGUGGAGGCCAGAAGAGGGUACUGAUUCCCCUGGAGCUGGAGUUAUAGGACGCUGGGAGCUGCCCAACAGGAGUGCUGGGAACCAAAUUCAGGUCCUCUGCAAGAGCGAGAGUAAGACUCUUAACCACUUCACGCCCCCGUCCCCUUUUUUAAAAAGUAUUUAUUUAUUAAUUAUUUAUAAGUACACUGUUCCUGUCUUCAGACACACCAGAAGAGGGCAUCGGAUUCCAUUACAGAUGGCUGUGAGCCACCAUGUGGUUGCUGGGAAUUGAACUCAGGACCUCUGGAAGAACAGUCAGUGCUCUUUAACCACUAAGACAUCUCUCCAGCCCUUCAGCCCCUUUCUUUCUUCCUUUCCUUUCCUUUCCUCUCUUUCCCUUUCCUUUCCUUUCCUUUUUCUUUCUUUAUUCCUCUCCUGUCACCAUGAGGGGACUUCCUAAAGGCCAGCAAGAGCCUCUAAUUACAUAUACGAUGACGUAUCUCACCACCUCUGCCUCCUGCCUAGUUCAUCUGCCAGACCCAUUACCCCAGGGAAUCGUUGUCAUCAGCAGAGGUUUCAGCCAACCCCACUCAGCUUCCAGAAGUAGCAAGAACCAUCCCCAUGAACAGAGCCACAGAAUAUGGAUCCCAGUUGGGUCAAUGAGACCUGUUUUAAUUGGACCACAAGACAAGAGAUUUAAAGUGGCAGAGACGACUUACAGCUAGAUGUGUAAGGGAUGUGACUUACAGCUAGAGGCUGCUGCACAGACACCAUCGAUACCUGCCUGCUGGAAAGCUCUGUGGGAAGAAAGCACGCGCAAGUAGCCCAGCUCCACCAGGAAGCAGCAUGAUGAUGCCCACCCAACGGAGGCCAGGGGGACACAGGCUGGGCAAUUUAGGUUUGUGCCCUCAUCUAGGGCUCAAUGGGCUGGCUUAUGCUCUCUGUAGCCACUGAGAGUAGAAAGUUCUAGAAAGCAUGUGCAGGGACUACAUUCUAGAGGUAAGGGAUGAACAAUGUUUCCUGUGACAGUGACAUUAGCAGCUUAUCAAAGUUCUCAGGGAAACAGUCAGUGUCCCCUCUUGAUAGGUGUUCGGGUGACAAGAGAAACAUGCUUUUGUUAAAAUCCAUCCAAUCUUUAGCUUGAGGUUUGUGCACUUUACCCUCAUCAUGUUAUUCCACCCCUUGAAGAGGGAUGCUCUCACAACAUAGUGAAAAACGGGACAUGUAGCUCGUUUGACGGAAUGCUGGCAGCAUCCACGAGACCCUGGUUACCAACUCCAGCACGAGACAGAAGAUCAAUGGGGCCACAUGCACACCUGUAACCCAGGCGCUCCGGAGGGUCCGCAGCUCAAGGUCAUCUUUGGCUACGUAGCACAUUCAGAGUUCCAAGGCAGUCCGAGUUAGAAGAAACCCCAUCCCAAAAAAUGAAGAGACCAAAGCCAGUGUCUGGCUCCCUUCUAGUCAGCAACUUCCAACUUGUAGCUCUGUACUAUGAUGCAUUCUCAGUCAUAGAUCAGCACCCUGACCACCUUGAUCCCAGGAGAUCUCUGUGUGCCUUGGAGGGGCAGAGGGGACAGGCAGAAAAGAUGUUAUCCAAGGGCUGCUGGUAUGAAUUCAUCACUGUGAUUCUAUCUUGCCUCAUUGGUGGACUGCUAAACCUUUAGUGGAGAUUGCCACAUGUUUCCUGUCCCUCUUUUGUUAAGACAGGGCUUAGUACAAAGGAAUGAUGCUCAUCCAAGCAAAUGUACAGUAAACUCAUGCCUCCAGAUUCACUGACCACCAACUAUAUGCUACUAAGAGAAUGUGGUCAUCUCAGCACUAGAAAAGGACCUGGUUUCUCUUUCCUGUGGAACGGAGGAGGAGUGGCAAGGUGAAAUAGCCCCUCUCCAUAUCCUAUACCCUUUCCCAGGAGCAUUCAGGCUAGGUUGGAAAGAGACUGCCCAGAGUAGUCCAGGGAUUGGGCGGGUUGAGCCCCUACAACAUCCUGGGCAUCACAGAAGCUGUGCGUGUUCAAUGCUCACACAACUGGGUGUGCCAGAGAAAGUCUGAGUUAUAAUUCGGGGACAUUGUGUUUCUAGCUGCAACUUGGAAUCAGAUUUUGUCACCAAAUAACCAGAGGAGCAGUUAUAAAUAAUUCAUGCAUGCUGUUUAGCUCAAUUAACAUUGCUCACGUGGCAAGGGGAGUUCUUUGAAGUCAGUUCUUUCUGGGGGGACAAUGACACACCCCCAUUGGACCAGGCCAUGCUUCUGCCCUAAUUAGAUAUUUGCACAAGAGACCCGAGCGAGGAGGCUGGAUUUAUUUUUAAUAAAAGAAGAUUAAAACGCGUGUAUUCGCAGCAAAUUAAGGAAGACCAAACUGAAUUAAAAAUUCUCCCACAACUUGGCAUGGUGAGGUGCUGAAAAUGAGACACCUCGCUUGAAAUUGUGAAGAGAUGUUGCUUGCACUCAGGAAAUAAAAUCAGGCUUUCCCUUUCCCAAUGUCCCGUGGGAAUUCCGUGUGCCCUCUGUCUUCAGAGAGCCAGUCUAAGCCCAGCCUGUGCGUCCACCUGUGGAGCAGCAGCUGGAGGCUGUAAGUAAAGAGGCAGAUGGGGGUGAUAGGCCAGGAAAUGGGGUGAAGCUGGAUCACUUUGUGUUACAUAGUGAUUCAGGCCACGCCUGAGCUUCUCAAAGAAGGCAAGGGCUCUAGGCUUUCUGUGCUUUCAAAUCCUCCAGAUUAAUGUAAAAUCUUAAGAACCCAAGCAAGACCCUCUUACAGUGGCUCCACACAUAGAUGCUACCAUCAGACCCAGAAAUAGCCUCAUUCACAGAAAGCAGGAACCCAGAUGUUUCCAGUAGCUUUGUUUGUAAAAAACAAACACAUGAACAAAUAAAAAAUAUGAGAACUAA